rnacentral:rRNA from 1 species
CUAUGUGUUGUUGGGUAGGGGAGCGUUCUGUAAGCCUGUGAAGGUGUACUGUGAGGUAUGCUGGAGGUAUCAGAAGUGCGAAUGCUGACAUAAGUAACGAUAAAGCGGGUGAAAAGCCCGCUCGCCGGAAGACCAAGGGUUCCUGUCCAACGUUAAUCGGGGCAGGGUGAGUCGACCCCUAAGGCGAGGCCGAAAGGCGUAGUCGAUGGGAAACAGGUUAAUAUUCCUGUACUUGGUGUUACUGCGAAGGGGGGACGGAGAAGGCUAUGUUGGCCGGGCGACGGUUGUCCCGGUUUAAGCGUGUAGGCUGGUUUUCCAGGCAAAUCCGGAAAAUCAAGGCUGAGGCGUGAUGACGAGGCACUACGGUGCUGAAGCAACAAAUGCCCUGCUUCCAGGAAAAGCCUCUAAGCAUCAGGUAACAUCAAAUCGUACCCCAAACCGACACAGGUGGUCAGGUAGAGAAUACCAAGGCGCUUGAGAGAACUCGGGUGAAGGAACUAGGCAAAAUGGUGCCGUAACUUCGGGAGAAGGCACGCUGAUAUGUAGGUGAAGCGACUUGCUCGUGGAGCUGAAAUCAGUCGAAGAUACCAGCUGGCUGCAACUGUUUAUUAAAAACACAGCACUGUGCAAACACGAAAGUGGACGUAUACGGUGUGACGCCUGCCCGGUGCCGGAAGGUUAAUUGAUGGGGUCAGCGCAAGCGAAGCUCUUGAUCGAAGCCCCGGUAAACGGCGGCCGUAACUAUAACGGUCCUAAGGUAGCGAAAUUCCUUGUCGGGUAAGUUCCGACCUGCACGAAUGGCGUAAUGAUGGCCAGGCUGUCUCCACCCGAGACUCAGUGAAAUUGAACUCGCUGUGAAGAUGCAGUGUACCCGCGGCAAGACGGAAAGACCCCGUGAACCUUUACUAUAGCUUGACACUGAACAUUGAGCCUUGAUGUGUAGGAUAGGUGGGAGGCUUAGAAGUGUGGACGCCAGUCUGCAUGGAGCCGACCUUGAAAUACCACCCUUUAAUGUUUGAUGUUCUAACGUUGACCCGUGAUCCGGGUUGCGGACAGUGUCUGGUGGGUAGUUUGACUGGGGCGGUCUCCUCCUAAAGAGUAACGGAGGAGCACGAAGGUUGGCUAAUCCUGGUCGGACAUCAGGAGGUUAGUGCAAUGGCAUAAGCCAGCUUGACUGCGAGCGUGACGGCGCGAGCAGGUGCGAAAGCAGGUCAUAGUGAUCCGGUGGUUCUGAAUGGAAGGGCCAUCGCUCAACGGAUAAAAGGUACUCCGGGGAUAACAGGCUGAUACCGCCCAAGAGUUCAUAUCGACGGCGGUGUUUGGCACCUCGAUGUCGGCUCAUCACAUCCUGGGGCUGAAGUAGGUCCCAAGGGUAUGGCUGUUCGCCAUUUAAAGUGGUACGCGAGCUGGGUUUAGAACGUCGUGAGACAGUUCGGUCCCUAUCUGCCGUGGGCGCUGGAGAACUGAGGGGGGCUGCUCCUAGUACGAGAGGACCGGAGUGGACGCAUCACUGGUGUUCGGGUUGUCAUGCCAAUGGCACUGCCCGGUAGCUAAAUGCGGAAGAGAUAAGUGCUGAAAGCAUCUAAGCACGAAACUUGCCCCGAGAUGAGUUCUCCCUGACUCCUUGAGAGUCCUGAAGGAACGUUGAAGACGACGACGUUGAUAGGCCGGGUGUGUAAGCGCAGCGAUGCGUUGAGCUAACCGGUACUAAUGAACCGUGAGGCUUAACCUUACAAC